UUUGUUCUCGCCCUUCUUUGGAUCUAGUUAGAUAAGAGUUUGGGAUUAGGAAAGUGAUUUUUCAGUUAUGAUAUUCCGACAAUCAGUACAAUUAUCUUCAUGCUUGUCAAAUUCAAAUUGGAUAAUUUAGUUUUGCUUCUUAGUGAUCUAAAUAUCUGUUUGGUCAUUCGCAAAGUUGAAGUCGAGAGCAAUUAUUCUUUGUAGACUUUGGAACUUAUUGAUUUAACUUGGUGAUUUUGGGGUUUCUUGUGUUUCAACGCUGGGAAACUGGAGUUCUAUGUGCCUUGCUUGGGUCGCAGUCCAACUGCUAGAUUAGGAUGCGAUCGGUCUUCGUACAACACUCCUCGGAUUUCGUCACUUGUUUGAUCGUUUUUUUGAUUCGUAUUUCUAGAUGCAUUACACAUAUAUCUGUAACCGUAUUCGUUUAUCGUACAGUUUCUCUAUCAGUAUUGCUUGUUACAUUAUCUCCAAUCUCGUUACCAGUUGAUAUGCAUUACCGUUCUCUUGAGAAAACGUGCUCUGGUUAGAUAUUACUCUAUUACUCUAUUGCUUGUAUCUGUAACCGUAUUACCAGUUGAUUUGCCAAGUACUUUGCUUGUAUUUAGGUUUGCAGAAUUGAUGUGGAUUUGCCUCAAAUUUUCUUUUUGCUGGAUUAGAAAUUGGCUUCCUAAAAUUGAUUUAUUAGCUAUUUUUUGAAAUCUGGAUUUGGUGAUUUGUCGGAUCAUGUACCUGAUUUUGUUAGAUGGUUAUUGUUGUGGACACCUUCGACUUAUCAAUGAGAUUUCUUGAAUCUAUAGUUCUACUUUGCCCAAAUAAAUCUGAGAUCUUAUUUAGACCAAUUGUGGGGUGAUUUAUAAAUAGGAAAUGGCUACCAAAGGCAAUGUAAGUAUCAAGAUUGAGGAUGAUGAUGAUGUUGAAGUGGGAGGUGUAGCUGAUUCCCUGUGGUCGAAGAAAAAUGAAGCUUUUUUUAUUGACAUUAUGGAGGAGGAGGUGAAAACAAUGGGUAGUCGAGAUACUGGGACUUUUCAGAUAAAAAGUUGGGCUAGGAUGAGAAGAGUCUUUCUGCUAAAGCUAAAUACGAAUACUCUGAACUUCAAAUAAAAAACAAGUUCAACCAACUACGCACUAUGCACACCAAAUUUAAGAGCCUUUGUGACCAAAGUGGCGUUGGGUGGUGUGCGGAAAAAGGUACUGUUACUGCUGAUGAUACCCUCUGGGAGAAGCUCUAUAAGGUUAAUAAGAAGGCCAAGCAUUUCAGGAAAAAAAGGUUUCCCACACUAUGCAGCGAUGACCCGAAUACUUGGAGAUACCACUGCAAUAGGAUUCAAUGCUCACCCGUCAGUCCAAUCCCCGUCUGGAACAGAUAGUUCUGAUCCCUCAUUCCAACUUAAACAGGACAAAGAUGAUGGUGAAAUAGAAGUAACUAACAUAGUGGUUAGUGGGAAAAAAAAAAUGUGCAUAGUGACUCGUGAGCCUCUUCCGAAAUGGGCUAUUCUUAGCCCAUCCCAAUCAAGCCAUGUAUGUGGUAUUAGGCUUCAGCCCUAACCUCUCAUUCGAAACCCUAAACCAACAGCGCCUAGGGUUUUCCAGUGACGAGAGCUUAUAAAAAGAAGAAGUUAAGCCUCUAUCUCUCUCUCUUCUUUGUCUCCCUCUGGGCUUUCUUUGUUGCAUGUAUAGGAAGACUUUAUAAUUUGGGUCUUCUUUUCUAUGUUGUGUUGCCAUCUUUAUCUUUCUAAAUCAACCAUCUGCAAAAUUUCUGAGUUUUUCAUUCUUCUUUUUUUUUUUUCGCUGUUGAAUUGGUUUCUGAUGAUGAUCAAACAUAAACUUUCGUUCUUCUGAGAAUAAAUUUCAUGCGGAAUGCUUUAUGGAGACCUGAACUGAAGAGACUAUUUUUCGAUUCAAUUCGUGGCAAAAUCUCUUAUGAAGAGAUCUAUUUUUUUUUUGCUUUUCGUCGAGAUUUUGAUUUUAUACCUACCUCUCCUUCCUUUUCUUUUCUUUUUUUGUUGGGCUAGUAUUUCGUAUUUCCAUGGCCUGAUAUUGAGUGAUGCCUCUAAUGAUGAUCAAACAAUACUUUCGUUCUUCCGAGAAAUUCUAUGCGGAGAAAUUAUUGGAGACCUGAACUGAAGAGGUUUUGAUUUUGAUCUCUCAAUGUAACAUCUUAGUUUCACUUUGUUCUCUGAACCUACGGCCCUUGGCUGCUGUUCAAAUGCAGUAGAAAAUACUUGUUGAAAUGUGAAAAAGUUGUUUCACAUGUUUAGUCAACUUACGCGCAACUCGAUUAAUUCUAGAAGAUCAAUCCCA